GUGGGGAAUAUUGGACAAUGGGCGCAAGCCUGAUCCAGCCAUACCGCGUGGGUGAAGAAGGCCUUCGGGUUGUAAAGCCCUUUUGUUGGGAAAGAAAUCCUGUCGGUUAAUACCUGGCGGGGAUGACGGUACCCAAAGAAUAAGCACCGGCUAACUUCGUGCCAGCAGCCGCGGUAAUACGAAGGGUGCAAGCGUUACUCGGAAUUACUGGGCGUAAAGCGUGCGUAGGUGGUGGUUUAAGUCCGUUGUGAAAGCCCUGGGCUCAACCUGGGAAGUGCAGUGGAUACUGGAUCACUAGAGUGUGGUAGAGGGAUGCGGAAUGUCUGGUGUAGCAGUGAAAUGCGUAGAGAUCAGAAGGAACAUCCGUGGCGAAGGCGGCAUCCUGGGCCAACACUGACACUGAGGCACGAAAGCGUGGGGAGCAAACAGGAUUAGAUACCCGUGUAGUCC
rnacentral:rRNA from 1 species